AUGGGGGCAACUGCUAAACCCACUCUCUCAGUCAAUGUGAAGGAGCAGAGGAGGAGUUGGUGCCUCACUUGCUACGUUAGUGCAAAUGCCGAGGCUGAGGUGGCCUCCUUGAACCGUAGGAUCCAGCUGGUUGAAGAGGAGCUGGACCGCGCCCAGGAGCGCCUGGCCACUGCCCUGCAAAAGCUGGAGGAAGCGGAGAAAGCUGCAGAUGAGAGCGAGAGAGGUAUGAAGGUUAUUGAGAACUGAGCCUUAAAAGAUGAAGAAAAGAUGGAACUCCAGGAAAUCCAACUCAAAGAGGCCAAGCACAUUGCAGAAGAGGCAGAUCGGAAGUAUGAAGAGGUGGCUCAGAAGUUGGUGAUUAUUGAGGGGGACUUGGAACGCACAGAGGAACAAGCUGAGCUGGCAGAGUCCCGUUGCCGGGAGAUGGAUGAGCAGAUCAGACUGAUGGACCAGAACCUGAAGUGUCUGAGUGCUGCUGAAGAAAAGUACUCUCAAAAGGAAGACAAAUAUGAGGAAGAGAUAAAGAUUCUCACGGAUAAACUCAAGGAGGCAGAGACCCGUGCCGAGUUUGCUGAGAGAUCGGUAGCCAAGCUGGAGAAGACAAUUGAUGAUUUGGAAGAUAAGCUGAAAUGCACCAAAGAGGAGCACCUCUGUACACAAAGGAUGCUGGACCAGACUCUGCUUAACCUGAAUGAGAUGUAG